UUUGACUGGAAAUUCAGAAAUCUGGUCAUACAGCAGCUCCUGGCCAUGCCUCAGACCAUACUCACCUCAGCACUACACCACCUGUUAUUACUGCCUUUGAGUCCUCAAAAUUAUCUCACAUUUCCCCUUCCCCAUUAGUCCAUUCCUCAUCAUUCUCUGCACCAUCACCUUUUUUCUCCUCAUCCUUCUCACCUUCUGCUCACUCAUCAUCUCCCCCACAACCAUCACUCCCUCCUGCCUCUCCAUUUACUCAUCCUGAAGCCAUAUUUGCCAUGCACCAAACUUCUGCCACAGUUCACCCUGCUGAUCCCAGCCAAUUUAUCAUCAAAGACUCCACUUUCCAGGAGGCUCUGGAAUGUAACUCCCACAGAUGGCAAGGAAACACUGCAUAUCUUCCCUCCCACAACAGCGAUGCACUUAAUGAAUUGGGCCGAGAUAAUUAGUGAAAGCUUUCUGUGUUAAAGAGAUGCAGCUAUUGAGCCAAUAUACAUAUAUACUGAUCGUUCAUUUAAUCCUUUAUGUCAUAAAACUUCUCUGAAAAAAUCUAGUGAAUAAUUUUUCCUCUAUCACUGCACUGUCCUUGAUCUAAAUUACAUAUUAAAACUACACAUGAUAGUGUAAUGAUCAGUAUGCUUGGCUCACAAACCACAUAUAUAUAUAUAUAUAUAUAUAUAUAUAUAUAUAUAUAUAUAUAUAUAUAUAUAUAUAUAUAUAUAUAUAUAUAUAUAUAUAUAUAUAUAUAUAUAUAUAUAUAUAUAUGCUUGGCUUUGUCUCCAAACUCUCCCCCAUAGAGAGACUGUAUUAACCUGCAGAAAUAAAGCUAUCAUUCAGGGAAACUGGUUUGUUUGCCAAACAAACAUUACAUUGCUGAAUAUUCUGUGGCACCAAAUGCUUUGUCAGGAAUUGUGGCAAUGAUAUUUCAAUCCUUGUCUUUGCAUCCUACAAUUUGUAUGCUGAACAUAAACCUUAUCAACAAG